UACGAAGGGGGCUAGCGUUGCUCGGAAUCACUGGGCGUAAAGGGUGCGUAGGCGGGUUUUUAAGUCAGGGGUGAAAUCCUGGAGCUCAACUCCAGAACUGCCUUUGAUACUGAAGAUCUUGAGUCCGGGAGAGGUGAGUGGAACUGCGAGUGUAGAGGUGAAAUUCGUAGAUAUUCGCAAGAACACCAGUGGCGAAGGCGGCUCACUGGCCCGGUACUGACGCUGAGGCACGAAAGCGUGGGGAGCAAACAUG
rnacentral:rRNA from 1 species